rnacentral:rRNA from 1 species
AUUGAACGCUGGCGGCAGGCCUAACACAUGCAAGUCGAACGAGUGGCGGACGGGUGAGUAAUGUCUGGGAAACUUCCCGAUGGAGGGGGAUAACUACUGGAAACGGUAGCUAAUAUCCCAUACCCUCGGAUGUGCCCAGAUGGGAUUAGCUAGUGGGUGGGGUAAAGGCCCACCAAGGCGACGAUCCCUAGCUGGUCUGAGAGGAUGAACAGCCACACUGGAACUGAGACACGGUCCAGACUCCUACGGGAGGCAGCAGUGGGGAAUAUUGCACAAGGGGCGAAAGCCUGAUGCAGCCAUGCCGCGUGUAUGAAGAAGGCCUUCGGGUUGUAAAGUACUUUCAGCGGGGAGGCGUUACCCGCAGAAGAAGCACCGGCUAACUCCGUGCCAGCAGCCGCGGUAAUUC